UAGUCCUUCCCCUUUGAAAGACAACAUUUAACUGAACUUUUUUCCCUAUAUAAACCUUCUUAUAAAUGUUUUUAAUUUAGUAUGAAAAUGAAAGUGUUAAAGCAAAAAUUACAAUUACCUAUCAUAAAUCAUGAUUAUAAUAAUGUUGAUAAUAAACAUAAAAUGUCUCAUCGACAUGGUACACUUUUACCCGAAUCAAUACGUUGUAUAAUUUGUGGACCUUCUGGUGGAGGAAAAACUAACAUAUUAUUGUCUUUAUUGUUUGAUCCCAACGGAUUGAAAUUUGAAAACAUAUAUAUUUAUUGUAAAUCAUUAUAUCAACCGAAAUAUAAACUGCUUAGUGAUGUGCUACAAAAAAUUAAAGGAAUGGAAUAUAACCAGUAUGAACAUAAUGAAGACGUGCUAGAUCCAAAAGAUGCAAAAAAUAACUCCAUUUUUAUAUUUGAUGAUGUCAUAAUGUGUAAUCAAGCUAAGAUAAGGGAUUACUUUUGCAUGGGCCGGCAUAAAAAUAUUGAUAGUUUCUAUCUCUGUCAAACAUAUACAAAAAUACCGAAACAUUUAAUUCGAGAUAAUGCAAAUUUAUUGGUAAUAUUAAAACAAGAUCUGUUAAAUUUAAAACAUGUAUAUGAAGAUCAUGUUGGUGCUGAUAUGAAAUUCGAACAAUUCUGUGAAAUAUGUCAGGAAUGUUGGAAAAACCAAUAUGGUUUUUUGGUUAUAUGUAAAGAUAAUGAAUUAAAUAAGGGUCGAUAUAGAAAAGGGUUUGAUCAUUUUAUUCAAGUGUAGAUUGAUAUCUAUUUGACAACGUUUCCAGACCGGUUAAUAUCGGUCUCAGACCGGUUAGUAUCGGUGUGAUAUCGGUUAAUACCGGUUCCAGAGCGGUUAUUAUCGGAUAGAGACCGGUUAAUAUCGGUUUCAGACCGGUUAAUGUCUGUUAAAAAGCAGUUCCUGAUCGGUUUGAGAUCGGUUAAUAUCAGUUUGAGACCCGUUAUAAUAGCAGUAGAAUAAGAAGUUAUAUAAACAAUAAUUCUGAUUUGUUCGGUUAGUUUAUAACAUUAAGCGGUAAUGAUGGGUACCAAACCAGAUCAAAACCUUAAAAGACAUAUAUUAAAAGCAGCUGAUUCAAUUCGAAAGAAGUAUAAAGCCAUAAAGUUAAACAGCAGUGAAGCGGAUGAGUCAAUUAAAAAACUUUUUCAGCCUGUUAUAAAUCCUUUAGAAGAAAUUUCAAUAAAAUUGGAGAAGCAAUCUCCACCACCACAGCAACAACAACAAAAACAACACAAAAGACCAAAACAUCAUAUUCAAAAGCAAAGGAAACAAUUUCUUAAAUUACCAAAAAAAGAAAAGAUUAAACAAGAACUUGAACUACCAGUUGAAGAAACAUAUGAACCUAGUACAUCACUACGACAACCAGAAGAAAUAUAUGAGUCAAUACCAGAAAUAAAAGAAGAAGAUGAAGAAACCAAAUCUGACACUAUGGAUGAUUUAAUUAAUAGCAGACAUAUUUUAGAUGAAUUUUUAGAACAAUAUCCUCCAGUUGCGAGAAAUGCAAUAGAAGCAGUUUUAGAGAAAACCAGUGAUCAGACAUUUGGUCCUAGAUAUAAUUCAAAAGAGAAUAAACUAUUUAUGGGUAAACAUGAAUUAAUAAUCAGUCAAAAUGGUGAUUUAAUUUUAGAUAAUGAAUCAUUUCCUGGUACUCCUGGUUUAUACAGACUAAUAUUUUUUAAAAACCCUGAAGAUAAAUACACUCAAAUUACAAAAGAGGAUCGGUCAGCAUACAAAAAAAUACUUGAAAUUUCUAAUACACAUAGAAAAAAUAAUGAUCCCACAAAACAACUAAAAGGUCAUAGAGGUGUAAAAUAUACUCAAAUUGUGCAACCAAUGUUUACUUCAUUUCCUAAAUCUCCGUUUAUUGGUGAAGGAUUAUUCACUAAUAAACGUGUAGAAUAUGUUUACUGGGAUGACAUAAAUGAAUUAGUGUCACGUCUAGCAUUAUUACAUGCAGCGACAAAAGCGGGUAACAAUUCCCAUCUGAAUGAAAUUUUAUCAAUAGAAGAAGAAUUAAAGGAAUGUGGUGUAAUAUAUUAGGUUUAAGUUUUUUUCUGGUUAAUCCUCAGUGUUGAAAUGCCCAUUGAUCUAUUCGGACGUAAAGUGUUAUCAGCAUCAAGUGCAUUUUUUAAAUCUACACCAUCACCAUUUGUUUUCACUGCUGAUGGUGACCUUGAUUUAAAACAUCAUAGAAUCUGUAACAUUAAUGAUCCAACAGAAGACAAAGAUUGUGCGAAUAAGGUAUAUAUUGAUUUAGUAAGUAAACAAAUAUACCAAAAGAUGGAAGGAGUAAUAGCUGCUUUAACGGAUUUAAAUAAUAAUGUUCAUAAAGCAGAUGCUAUAUGGAUGGAUAAAUUUAAUCAGUUAAACUUAACCAUGAAUGUUAAGUACAAAAUACUUGAUGGAAAAAUUGAUAAUAUAAUUGCUACAAUUCCUCACACGAUUCAAUCAGAAUUGCAUAACAAACAUUUAAGUAUAAAUUAUGAAAUCGAUAAGAAGUGGAAAAAAUUUAUGAAUAAUUCAAAUGAGAUAACCAAACGAAUAAAAAAACUUGAAGAACGCUUUGAAGGAAUCGAUAGUAUUAAGAUAAUACCAGAAACCAUUUCCAAACGUUCUAAAGCAGGUGAUACAGAUCAACUUGAGAAUGUACCUAUAUCAAAGAAAAGGAAAGUAACAGAUUCAUAUGAAAAUAGUGAAGAAGAAGGUCCAAAGAUAGAACCCAUGCCUCAUAAUAAAAACAAGUGUCCUCCAGGUCAAAUGUCAGAUCGUCAUGGAAAUUGUAGAGAAGUGUACCGUAAAUAAGCAAUGGUUCGACUAAAGCAAGUUAGUGAUGUAAAGCAAAAAUUGGUAAACGAGAUAUUUAAACCUGCACGCAAGAAUUUUAAACGAAGACGUACUAUAAUUAAAGGAUUGGAUGAUUUAUGGCAAGUAGAUUUAGCAGAAAUGCAAAAUUUAUCUUAUCAUAAUAAUGGAUUUAAAUAUAUUUUAGUCGUAAUCGACUGUUUUUCUAAAUUUUUAUGGACCAGACCACUGAAAUCGAAAUCAGCUAAUGAGGUUAGCAGAGCUAUGGAAUCAAUACUAAAGAAUGAAAAAGAACGAAUACCAAAGAAUUUACAGUCAGAUCAAGGAAAGGAAUUUUAUAAUACCACUUUUCAGGAUUUGAUGAGACGUUAUAAUAUUAAUCACUAUAGUACGUACAGCGUUAAAAAAGCAGCAAUUGCUGAACGAGUUAUACGUACUUUAAAAUCAAAAAUUUAUCGAUAUUUUACGUUAUUUGCGACACAUAAAUGGAUAAAUAAAUUGCAAGAGAUAACCAAAAAUUAUAAUACUACAAUACAUCGAACAACAGGAAGGAAACCCACAGAGAUAAACGCUUCGAAUCAAGGAGACAUAACAGCAUAUGAUCAUCUAAAGAUUGUUGAUAAAAACAGAAAAAAAUUUAAAGUCGGAGAUUUCGUAAGAAUUAGCAAAGAAAAGAUGUUAUUUGAAAAAGGAUAUACACCCAAUUGGUCAACGGAAAUUUUUAAAAUCAGUAAGAUUAAUCUAACCAAUCCUGUAACAUUUCUACUAGAAGAUAAAGAAGGUCAACCAAUCAAAGGAGCUUUUUAUAUUUGGGAAUUAUCAAAAACUCAAUAUCCUGACGUCUAUUUAGUUGAAAAGGUGAUUCGACGUAAAGGAACUAAAUUAUUUGUGAAAUGGUUAGGUUUACCAGAUAAUCAGAAUAAACGUCUAAUUUAGUUCCAUUUAAGAUGGCAACGAGUGUAGAACCUGUUAUAAAAAAAGUGCUGCAUUUUGAAAAAACCAUAAGCGAUAUUCGAUUACUAAUGAAACUGGAACUACUGAAAUUAGGACCGUGCCAGUUGAUGGAUAUAUUUCAUAAAUUACCGGAAACAUAUCAACAAGAUCAUGAUAUAAAGCUGAAUCUACCAUGUUUACAACAUUAUUAUAACAGUUUUGACGAAGAUCAGUUUGAUGGUCCUCCUUCAUCAAUAAAUAAUUGUGUUUCGUGUAUUUUAGAUGAUACAGGAAGCCAACAACAACAACAACAACAACAACAACAACAACAACAACAACCCACUGCGUUUCAAGUGUAAUGCCUCUUUUGAACUCAUCACUCAUCUUAUUUGUUACUCUUAUACAAAAUGUGUUGUAUGUGCAAAAACCGCUAGAUGUUGUAGAUAUGUACAUCGUCUUCACUAGUGAAAGUCCUAACAACACAAGAUGGUCUCCUCUCUGGAAAAGUUUAUUUUUCAACGAUGUUGAUUACCAAUGGAAGAAGAUGAAUCUGGGUUAUUUGAGCAAUACUGCAAUAGAAAUAUUUAAAUAUGAAAAUGUUUCUACAGCAAACUCUGUAAUAUAUUUUAAAUUAAGACUAGUUUUUACCAAUAGUAAUUAUAUUGAUACUGAUUGGAAGAGACUUAUACUUAAUGAUCAUGAUGUAGUUUCAAUAAAAAAUUGUUUUAAUCAUGUUCCUACCUUUUUAGCAAUGUUUGGAAUUGUUUGUACAUGUUGGAUCGUUUUUAUGAUGUUCAUAGCGUUAGGUUUGGCUUAAAAACUGCAAUUAAAAAUUUAUUUAGGUGUAUGACUUUGUUAGUUUAAGUAUGUAGUUUGUUUUAUGUCUAAUAAAAAAUAAUAUUCAUUCUGAUUAUUUUUGUUAUCAUAUUUCCUGUCUAACGUUUUUUCCUUAAAAACGUUAAAUUUUUAUCAGUUAUAUUUCGAAUUUUUUGAAUUUUUACGUAAGAAACCACAAUAUCCGGUUGCAAAGUUUAUAGAAUAUAAAAUCAUAUCGCAUCAAUGAUUAAUUCAUUUCUACUUCGACUGUACGUGUAUGAAAGUAAUCAACCAAUCAUGUUCAAGUGCUCUCAAUGCGAUAACAAGUUUACUCGCAAAGAUGCUUUAACACGUCAUGUAAAAAAACAUAGUGAUAAAUUAUCUAAACUCACUUGCACCGGAUGUAAAACGUCAUUUACGAGAUUUGAUAACUAUAAGCGUCAUAUUACAAAUUCAUCAUUGUGUUCAAUGGAUUCGGAUGAUAUGACUCCUAAAAAAGCCCGCCUGACAACUAGAACACCUUUACAAGAAGUUACUACUAACGCUCCAUCAUGUUCAUUUCAUCAAUUUUGUGAAAUAUGCAAUAAUCACUACAGAGGAUCCAGAUUAAACCAUUUACGUUCUUUAAAACAUAAAAGUGUCAUCUCCGCCAAAAUUAAUGAUGAUGAUGAUUUCGUUGAAGAAUAUCAAGUUGCCUUCAAAUCAAGAAUUACCUCAUACCGAUUGAAAAAUUCACAACUAGAUGACUUGGAAGUGUGCAAUUUUUUUGAAAGAAAUCAAGAUAAACUUAUCACUUUAAUAACUAGAAAACUGAGAGAAUUUAACCAACUUAAAAUUAAUUUCGAACUUUUUGCUAAAUAUAUUUUACCUUCUAAAGACAUUAUCGAAAUCAAAUCAUUCAACACUAAAAAUAUCAUCAUUUCAAUAUCGACAAAUAUUAAGGUAGAACUGGAAGAAAUAUGUGGCGUCAUAAAAAACAAAAUGAGUGAAUUCUUGGAAAAAGAUAGUGGUUGGAUUUUAAUGGAAAUUUUGUUUUUGGAACUUAAUAUCAACAAAUUCAAUCCACUACGUGCAUCAACAUAUAUACCAUUACCGAAGGACAUAGUGAAGCGGAGAGCGGUUAUCAAUAUUCAUAAUGAUGAUAAUGAAUGUUUCAAAUGGUCUGUUUUGGCACACCUUCAUUCAACUGAAGUAAAUGUUAAUCGACAUCGAGUUGAUGCUUAUCGUGAGUUUGAAGAGGAAUUAGAUUUUACAGAUAUUUCAUUUCCGGUUAAAUUAACUGAUAUUUUUAAAUUUGAAGCACUUAAUAAUAUUAGUGUAAAUGUCUAUGGAACAGAGCAGCGUUUUGAUCAUGAAAAAGGUAAAUGGGUAUCAGAUAUUAUAGGUCCCUUUUAUUUAACUUCUAAGGAACGAGACAUUCAUGUAAAUUUAUUACUUAUCGUAGACGAUGAAAGAAUGAUCAAACAUUACUGUCUGAUAAGCAACAUUUCUCGAUUAAUAAGUUCACAACUUUCCAAACAUAAUCAUGCUAAAUUUAUAUGUAACGGUUGUCUAUUAUUUUUUUCGAGUGAACAAAAAUUAGUUAAACAUCGUAAGUAUGCUUGUAAUGAAGUUGUCACUACAUUACCAACUUCUGAUCUGAUUAUAAAUAAAUUUGGUAAAGAAGUGCCUGGUAAUGAAUUAACAUUUCAAAAUUUUGAUAAAUCUCUUAAAGUUCCUUUUGUAUUUUAUUUCGAUUUUGAAUCUAUUUUAAAACCUUUACGCAAUGAUAAUUCAGCCGAUAAUAUCCGUACAAUUGUUACACAUUUACAUGAACCAUAUAGUUUCGGAUAUUACAUAAAAUGUGCAUAUAAUGAUAAUUUAUCAAUAUAUCGGACUUAUCGAGGAAAAGAUGCUCCUGAAAUUUUUGUGAAAUGGUUGCAAGAUGAUGUAAAUAGACUUUAUCACGAUCACCUCAAACAUAUCGUACCACUUGAAAUGACUCCGUUAGAUGAAUUGGUUUUUCAAAUAUCUACCCAUUGUCAUUUAUGUAAAGAACCUUUCAAAACAGAUUACGGAAGUCUAAAUUGUGAUAGAGUUCGUAAUCAUUGUCACUUAACAGGUGAAUUUUUAGGACCUGCCCAUUCUAUUUGUAAUUUAAAUUAUAAGAUUCCAAAAUAUAUCCCUGUUUUUUGUCAUAAUUUAACUAAUUAUGAUAGUCAUUUAUUUAUUAAAGCUUUAGCAACAGAAAAGACCAUCAUUAAUUGCAUUGCUCAAACUAAAGAAAAGUAUAUUACAUUUUCAAAAAAAAUUUUAGUUGAUAAGGUCAUGAACACGACUACAAAUACAGUUGACAAUAUUUUUAUAACGCUUAGAUUCGUAGAUUCGUUCCGUUUCCUUUCUUUUUCAUUAGAUAAAUUAUCUCAGACUUUAACUUCUGAUGAAUGUCUAACCAUUCGGAAACACUUUCCGGACGAUAACCAAUUUAAUUUGAUAAGACAAAAAGGUGUUUUUCCAUAUUCAUAUUUGGAUUGUUUUAAUAAGUUAGAUGAUACCAAUUUACCAUUGAUUCAACAAUUUUAUGAUAAUCUUAAUAAAACUGAUAUCAGUGAACAUGAUUAUGAGCGAGCACAGGAAGUCUGGAAUCUAUUUGAUUGCAAAACGUUAGGUGAUUAUUCCAACAUUUAUUUAAAGUCUGAUGUUUUGUUACUUACAGACAUUUUUGAAAAUUUCAGAAAGGUUUGUCUCAAAAUUUAUGAACUAGAUCCAGCUCAUUACUUAACAGCACCUUCAUUAGGCUGGGAUGCUAUGUUAAAAAUGACUGGAAUUAAAUUCGAAUUGUUAACUGAUAUAGACAUGGUACAUUUCUUUCGAAAAUCUAUUAGAGGAGGACUUUGUCAAUGUUCAAAACGUAAAGCAGUAGCAAAUAAUAAGUUUUUAUCAAAUCAUGAUCCUUCUAAACCAACUUCUUUUAUAAUGUACCUUGAUGCAACCAACUUGUAUGGAGCAGCAAUGUCUGAAUAUUUACCUUAUAGCGGUUUUCGAUGGGAAGAUCCUAAUGAAUUCAAUGAUAACCUAAUUCUCAAUUUGACAGAUAACGCUGAUGUAGGUUAUAUAUUCGAAGUUGAUUUAGAAUAUCCUUCUGAAUUACAUAAUCUUCACAACGAUUUACCAUUUUGUCCUGAAAAAUUUAUUCCUCCCUCUAGUAAAACUGAGAAACUUUGCGCAACCUUAAACAAUAAAGUACACUAUGUUUUACAUUAUCGAAAUUUAAGACAAGCUAUACAAGGUGGUUUAAAAUUAAUUAAUAUUCACCGUGUUUUAAGUUUUAAUCAAUCACCAUGGUUGAAAACAUAUAUUGAUUUAAAUACAGAAAUGCGUAACAAAUCAAAAAACGCGUUAGAAAAAGAUGUAUUUAAAUUAAUGAAUAAUUCAGUUUUUGGUAAAACCAUGGAAUCAAUUGAUAAAAGAGUAAACGUGAAAUUGGUAACAUCAUGGAAUAAUAUAGGUAGAAAACCAGGUGCUGAAAGUUUAAUUGCACGACCAAAUUUUAAAAAUUCAUCUAUCUUUACACCAAAUUUUGUAGCUAUUCAAUUAGAGAACGAAAAAGUUUUCUACAAUAAACCUCUGUAUGUAGGUUUUACUAUUCUAGAUAUCAGUAAAACUAUUAUGUAUGAUUUUUAUUAUAAUUUCAUAAAACUUAAAUACGGUAACAAUGCAACGCUUUUGUAUACCGAUACUGAUAGUUUAGUAAUUGAAAUUUUUUGUGAAAAUAUUUAUGAUGAUAUUAAAUCUAAUAUAGAGCGUUUUGAUACUUCAAAUUAUAAAGCAGAAAAUAUUCAUGGAAUACCUGUAUCGUCUUCUGUCAUCGGGAAGAUGAAAGAUGAAUAUAAAGGACGUGUAAUAUCAGAAUUUUUAGGAACAGGUGCUAAAGCAUAUUGUGUGGAUGUUGAAGGUGAAUUAUCUAAAAAAGCUAAGGGUAUUAAACACAAUGUAAUUACAAGUGAAUUACAUAAAAUUGACUACCAAAACGCAGUUACUGUUCCAAACACUGAAAUUAUUAAAGAAAUGAAUAUCUUUCGUUCGAAGCUUCAUAACAUUUACACAGAAUUAAAGAAAAAAAUUGCUUUAUCUUUCAAAGAUGAUAAACGUUACAUCUUAAACAAUUCUGAAGGUAGAACAUUAUCUUGGGGUCAUAAAAAUAUUCCUCCUCAAACUCAGGAAUAAUAUUUAAUUUGUAUUGUAGUUAUUGUAUUAUAAUGUUUAUGUAUUAUAAUAUGUAUGUAUGUAUGUAUGUAUGCAUGUACUUAUAUUUAGAUGUAAUAAACAAUUAAAGUAAUUUAUUGU